UCUCCUGGAAAAGGGUGGUAAUGCCGGAUGCUCCAGUUGAUCGCAUGGUCUUCUGGGAAAGCUUUCGCGGUAUGGGAUGGGGUCGCGUCCUAUCAGCUUGACGGCGGGGUAACGGCCCACCGUGGCUUCGACGGGUAGCCGGCCUGAGAGGGCGACCGGCCACAUUGGGACUGAGAUACGGCCCAGACUCCUACGGGAGGCAGCAGUGGGGAAUAUUGCACAAUGGGCGCAAGCCUGAUGCAGCGACGCCGCGUGAGGGAUGGAGGCCUUCGGGUUGUAAACCUCUUUUAUCGGGGAGCAAGCGAGAGUGAGUUUACCCGUUGAAUAAGCACCGGCUAACUACGUGCCAGCAGCCGCGGUAAUACGUAGGGUGCAAGCGUUAUCCGGAAUUAUUGGGCGUAAAGGGCUCGUAGGCGGUUCGUCGCGUCCGGUGUGAAAGUCCAUCGCUUAACGGUGGAUCCGCGCCGGGUACGGGCGGGCUUGAGUGCGGUAGGGGAGACUGGAAUUCCCGGUGUAACGGUGGAAUGUGUAGAUAUCG
rnacentral:rRNA from 2 species